AGCCUUUCGUCGCAAGUAUACUGACGUAACUUACGUGCAUAUGUAGUACAACACCUCUCCAACUCUCAGGUAAACUUUACCCGCCUUCCUGGUAAGUUUUGAACAGGUGUUUCACAUGAUGGAAGACGAUUCACCUUUAAUAACUUGUAGUGAUGAAUAUCGACUUCUUGAAACAUACUGCCAGAAUAGGAGGAAGCCCCGCCAGAUCAGUGGAAAGUGCAUGUAUGUGCAGUCUGGAGGCACAAUCAGACGAUGAGCAAUUUGGUGAUGUGGCUGAAAAACUCACCCAGAUUGUAGACAAGGGACUUCUUGAUGAAGAACUACUCCAGACUGUAGACAAAAGACUUCUUGUUGACGAAGUACUAGAGU